UAGAGAUUCCUACGGGAGGCAGCAGUAGGGAAUCUUCCACAAUGGGUGCAAACCUGAUGGAGCAAUGCCGCGUGAGUGAAGAAGGUCUUCGGAUCGUAAAGCUCUGUUGUGAGAGAAGAACAGGUAGAGUAGUAACUGGCUUUACUUGACGGUUCUCACCAGAA
rnacentral:rRNA from 1 species